rnacentral:rRNA from 1 species
UACGAAGGGGGCUAGCGCUGCUCGGAAUCACUGGGCGUAAGGGUGCGUAGGCGGGUCUUUAAGUCAGGGGUGAAAUCCUGGAGCUCAACUCCAGAACUGCCUUUGAUACUGAAGAUCUUGAGUUCGGGAGAGGUGAGUGGAACUGCGAGUGUAGAGGUGAAAUUCGUAGAUAUUCGCAAGAACACCAGUGGCGAAGGCGGCUCACUGGCCCCGAUACUGACGCUGAGGCACGAAAGCGUGGGGAGCAAACAGG